CUGGCGCUCCAACAAGAUAGACCUAAUUCAACAUUACAUUAGAUAAAGAUCUGAAUUAUCCAGACUCAAAAACAGCCUACAGUUGAACUAUGGAAAAUAUGAAGCCAAAAGUAGAACAUUUGCCCACAUCAAUAAAAGAUUUUUUUACACCUGAAGAAUUUGCUGCUAUACCUGAAUAUGAAAAGAAGCAUCUCAGCAUCUUGAGACAAAAUUACAAAGUGCUAAGAAGUGCAGGCCUUUCAGUAGAGCCUCCUGAAUUUAUGCUUAAGAAAAAGAAGAAAAAAGUGG